AUGCAAGUCGACGGAGCUUUUCGGAGCUAAGUGGCGGACGGGUGAGUAACGCGUGAGAAUCUACCUUUUGGAGGGGGACAACACUGGGAAACUAAUGCUAAGACCCAAUGUGCUGAAAAGUGAAAAAUGAAAAUUGCCUGAAGAGGAGCUCGCGUCUGAUUAGCUAGUUGGAGUGGUAAAAGCGCACCAAGGCGACGAUCAGUAGCUGGUCUGAGAGGAUGAGCAGCCACACUGGGACUGAGACACGGCCCAGACUCCUACGGGAGGCAGCAGUGGGGAAUUUUCCGCAAUGGGCGAAAGCCUGACGGAGCAAUACCGCGUGAGGGAGGAAGGCUCUUGGGUUGUAAACCUCAAAACUUAGGGAAGAAAAAAAUGACGGUACCUAAUAUAAGCAUCGGCUAACUCCGUGCCAGCAGCCGCGGUAAUA
rnacentral:rRNA from 1 species